UACGGAGGGCGCGAGCGUUGUCCGGAAUCACUGGGCGUAAGGGCGCGUAGGCGGCCCUGGUAAGUCUGCGGUGAAAGCCCGGGGCUCAACCCCGGGUCGGCCGCGGGUACUGCCGGGCUGGAGUGCCGUAGGGGCAGGCGGAAUUCCGGGUGUAGCGGUGGAAUGCGCAGAUAUCAGGAGGAACACCAGUGGCGAAGGCGGCUCUCUGGGACGGUACUGACGCUGAGACGCGAAAGCGUGGGGAGCGAACAGG
rnacentral:rRNA from 1 species